AUUCAGCUGAUGAGUCUCAAAUAGAAUGAAACGCGCGUCCUGGAU
rnacentral:hammerhead_ribozyme from 1 species